UACGGGGGGAGCAAGCGUUGUUCGGAUUUACUGGGCGUAAAGGGCGCGUAGGCGGCCAGCACAAGUCAGUUGUGAAAACUCGAGGCUCAACCUCGAGACGCCGGUGGAAACUGCAAAGCUAGAGUCCGGAAGAGGAGAGUGGAAUUCCUGGUGUAGCGGUGAAAUGCGCAGAUAUCAGGAAGAACACCCGUGGCGAAGGCGGCUCUCUGGGACGGUACUGACGCUGAGACGCGAAAGCGUGGGGAGCGAACAGG
rnacentral:rRNA from 1 species